UCUCAUAGAUGAAACCAAGACUGUUCUCAGGGCAGCUCUGCCGGUUUUGACUAGCAGAAGAUACUUUUUGUAGGAGGUUACGAAAAUUAACGCAGCAGGUUAGGAUAAUUAGGUAAAGGUUAGGGAAAGCUAAAAUACUAACAAUGUCCCCGACGCGACUCGAAUCUAUUUUACAACCAGGCCUGCCCUGAGAACAGACUUGAUUUCCACUAAUGCGAUGCUCCUUGCCAAACAGUCUGUGAGGGAAAACUCAUGAGAAAAUAAGCUUUCUGUUCUACUCUAGCUAUUUUAUUGUUUUGGAAAAGUCGCCUAAAUAUUUUUGUGCAGCUGAUUAGUAUGUAGUAAUUCCAUAUACUAUAUUCUUCUAUAUAUACCUACUGCAGGUUUUCUUAACUAAGCUACUAACUAGCUAGCUAACGUUAGCUUGUUUGGAUUGUGUUAGCUAACAGUAGCCAAGUUGACAUGUCAGUCUGUUGCAUUGAUCUUUCAGGUUUCUCUGUUGUUUCCCUGUCUCACUCAGUGUGUUCUUCUUAAACCAGUGGAGGCAUGGUGGGUCUUCAAGAUGCAAUUAAACACCAAUUGCCCGAGUUGGAGCAUUUGGUGAGAUCUUUGUCAGAGCAUCUGAGGGCCAAUGUUGUAGUGGAGAAUAUUAAAGACCUUGAAUAUGUUCAACCGGACGAUAUAACAGACCAUUUGACGCCAAUAUAGUGUCAGGAAUUUCAACCAAAGAGAAAAUGAAGAAAGGAUAUUAUCUGUAACAAUGGAUAGGACUCUUGUCCUCCUCCAAGCAUCAGUGACCUCCAGGAACAGUGGCCUUUCCGUUUCACCAAGUUAUGGCUCUGCGACCACUUCGAAACCCUCCCUGGCGUCGUGAUUGACAGACGCCUGACUCAAGCUCUCCCGAACAAGAGUCACUGCAACUCGGGAUGAUGUCGAGGUGCGAAUUCCUUUGCCAUUUCAUAUCCAACAUUUUUAUGCAAGUAAAGUCCAGGUCAGAUAAAGAAUGUUAUGACAGGAAUGGAAAUAAACCAAAUUCAAAGUGAAUUUGGGCAGGUAGUGUUCUCCUGGCAUCCGCCAAACCCAGAUUCAUCUGUCGGACUACCAGAUGGUGCAGCUUAAUUCACCACUCCAGAGAACAUGUUUCCACUGCUCCAAU